ensembl:lncRNA LINC01865 long intergenic non-protein coding RNA 1865
CCUCUGCGCUCUCCCUUCUGUCCUCUCCCCUCUGCCUUCUCCCUCUCCCCUCUCCCCUGUCGCCUCUGCCCUGCUCCCUUCUCUGUCCUGGGCUUCUGCCCCCCUCACCGCUCUCUGCAUCCACUCCAGCUUUUCCCCCCUUCACUUUCUCCAAACAGUGAUUUUUUGAAACUAAUAUCAACAAGAUCAGGACAACUGCAAUCACUUUACCCGACUUGUCAGUUUCCUAUUUAGAAAAUUCAGACUAUGGAGUGGAAUUGGCUCCUCAUGGGACCCAUGUGUGCUGGACCUUCUCUUGCGUGGUUAGUUGUAAAACUUGAUGCUUCUGCAGGCAGAUGAUGGCAGAAAGCUCCCACCCCACCACGCUGAUGACGGCAGAAAGCUCCCGCCCCACCACGCUGAUGACGGCAGAAAGCUCCCGCCCCACCACGCUGAUGAUGGCACUCUCGUUGGGUGGUUGUGUGGUCUUCAUACAAUUUCAGGGUAAAUCGCCACUUGAUGUCAUUGCUAAAUGGGAUACCUGAGCUAUGAUGAUUUUGCCUGAUUGUUAAAGUUAGUAUUUUAAGACCAAAGAUGGACAAAAUACGUUAAAAUUGUCUGUAAAAAGGCACAUUUCUGAAUUUGCUUUUAAUACUUUAAAAGAUAUAAAGCUGUUGUAUUAUAACAGGAAGGAUUGCUACAAGAACAGAUCUGUCAGAAAACAAAACCGCAUCUUGAAUUGAAAUGGAAAAUGAAAUUUAGCUACACUUCGUA